AAUGAACGCUGGCGGCAGGCCUAACACAUGCAAGUCGAACGGGUCCUUCGGGACUAGUGGCGGACGGGUGAGUAACGCGUGGGAACAUAACCCAAAGGUACGGAAUAGCCUCGGGAAACUGAGAGUAAUACCGUAUGUGCCCUUCGGGGGAAAGAUGUAUCGCCUUUGGAUUGGCCCGCGUUGGAUUAGGUAGUUGGUGGGGUAAUGGCCUACCAAGCCGACGAUCCAUAGCUGGUUUGAGAGGAUGAUCAGCCACACUGGGACUGAGACACGGCCCAGACUCCUACGGGAGGCAGCAGGUGGGGAAUCUUAGACAAUGGGGGAAACCCUGAUCUAGCCAUGCCGCGUGAUCGAUGAAGGCCUUAGGGUUGUAAAGAUCUUUCAGAUGGGAAGAUAAUGACGGUACCAUCAGAAGAAGCCCCGGCUAACUCCGUG
rnacentral:rRNA from 1 species